rnacentral:tRNA from 1 species
AUUAGUUUUUAUAGUUGAAAUAGUCUUGUAAAUCAAAAAUAAGAAUAUUUUCUUUUAAAACU